rnacentral:rRNA from 1 species
GAGACAGUUCGGUCCCUAUCCGUCGUGGGCGUAGGAAAUUUGAGAGGAGCUGUCCUUAGUACGAGAGGACCGGGAUGGACGCACCGCUGGUGUACCAGUUGUUCUGCCAAGGGCAUAGCUGGGUAGCUAUGUGCGGAAGGGAUAAGUGCUGAAAGCAUCUAAGCAUGAAGCCCCCCUCAAGAUGAGAUUUCCCAUAGCGUAAGCUAGUAAGAUCCCUGAAAGAUGAUCAGGUUGAUAGGUUCGAGGUGGAAGCAUGGUGACAUGUGGAGCUGACGAAUACUAAUAGAUCGAGGACUUAA